CUUUUUGGCCUAGGUGGCAGAGUUUACAAACCUUGGUGGUGUUAUAAUGUUGAGGCCUAUGUGAGCCGAAUAUACAUUUAUUUGCCUUGGUGGCAGUGUGUGAUAAAAUGGAUCUUGGUGUUUUACUUUACAAUAGACACAAAUAUGGAAUUAUGCAUAUUUGUGUGGUUAUCAUAAUUUAUAUGAAAUGUCUUUUGGUAUCUUUAUAAAAUGGCCUGAAUUUUCCCUAUGAGUAUGCAAGCCGCACGUGCAUUUCAUGCCAUAUAGCCUCCCGGUCUCUGUUUUUAACGUUAGGCUUCUAAUGCACUGACAGUUUCCUAAAAGCUCAUCGGGGUUAUUAAUUAUUUUUUGAAUUCUAUUUGUAAUCUUUUUGAAUUUUAAAAGUUAUAUUUAUUUUGACUUGUAUUUUUGUUACAAAUUUAAAAGAAAAAAGAAAUUUAAUUUAAUCUUGUUCGAGUUAUCCCGCAUGUGCCUUGGUAUUUGCUUACCAGUUACGGUACAUUGUUUUUGUUUAGAUGGUGUAGCCUACCAUAUUAAGAAUUCUUUAAGAGGGAUAAAGCUCUUCCUUGUUAUAAAGAAGAUAAAGGGAGGGAAACCAGAUGCAUUAAAAGAAUUUGCUUGAGUCUCUUAGGAAAAGAAAACAAAGAGUCUGGAGUUCGAGGAAAUCGAGAUGCAAGUAAACAGUAUCAUAACAGAAAGUAUGACAGAGUUGUUGGAACUGGCAGGAAGAGAUGCAACUCUAGAAGAGGGGAGGCGGGUGCUGCACUGUGUUAUUAUUGUUGCAAACGAAGUGGGACAGCCCAAGGGGCAAGUUACAGAGGAUUCAAUGGUCCCUGGUACAAGUACUUCUGCAGGAAGUGAAGGGGUCUCUCCAGAUUCAGCGAGGCCUUCAGUUGCAAAACAAA